rnacentral:rRNA from 1 species
CGAACGGGUGAGUAAUAUAUCGGAACGUAUCCAAUAAGGGGGAGUAACUAGUCGAAAGAUUAGCUAAUACCGCAUACGCCCUGAGGGGGAAAGGCUGGGGAUCUUCGGACCUAGCGUUAAUGGAGCGGCCGAUAUCUGAUUAGCUAGUAGGUGAGGUAAGAGCUCACCUAGGCGACGAUCAGUAGCUGGUCUGAGAGGACGACCAGCCACACUGGAACUGAGACACGGUCCAG